rnacentral:rRNA from 1 species
GAAAGAUGGUUUUGCUAUCACUUAUAGAUGGACCCGCGCCGUAUUAGCUAGUUGGUAAGGUAACGGCUUACCAAGGCAACGAUACGUAGCCGACCUGAGAGGGUGAUCGGCCACACUGGAACUGAGACACGGUCCAGACUCCUACGGGAGGCAGCAGUAGGGAAUCUUCCGCAAUGGGCGAAAGCCUGACGGAGCAACGCCGCGUGAGUGAUGAAGGGUUUCGGCUCGUAAAACUCUGUUAUUAGGGAAGAACAAAUGUGUAAGUACCUGUGCACGUCUUGACGGUACCUAAUCAGAAAGCCACGGCUAACUACGUGCCAGCAGCCGCGGUAAUACGUAGGUGGCAAGCGUUAUCCGGAAUUAUUGGGCGUAAAGCGCGCGUAGGCGGUUUCUUAAGUCUGAUGUGAAAGCCCACGGCUCAACCGUGGAGGGUCAUUGGAAACUGGGAAACUUGAGUGCAGAAGAGGAAAGUGGAAUUCCAUGUGUAGCGGUGAAAUGCGCAGAGAUAUGGAGGAACACCAGUGGCGAAGGCGACUUUCUGGUCUGUAACUGACGCUGAUGUGCGAAAGCGUGGGGAUCAAACAGGAUUAGAUACCCUGGUAGUCCACGCCGUAAACGAUGAGUGCUAAGUGUUAGGGGGUUUCCGCCCCUU